GAGGUUGUGGCUCAGUGGUAGAGCGCUUGCCUACCACGUGUGAGGCACUGGGUUCGAUCCUCAGCACCACA
rnacentral:tRNA from 1 species